GCUCCCCGUGCAGAAGCUCAUCAGGCUCUGCAGAAGAAUUGCCUGCUGAUUGAAAUCAGGUGUGUCGAAACUAAAACAUGCUGGAUACCGGCUCUCCAGGCCCAUAACUGAAUACCCCUGUCCUAUGCUAACCACGAUUCAUUGCAAGAAUUGACAGCUGAGAAGAGGCCUGAAGAAAGACCGAGGACAUGCUGGGGGGGACUAUGUUUGUCAGCUGGCCUGGGAACACCUUAGGAUUCCCUCGGAGGAGCUGGUACAAGUGGCUGGGGAGAAGGAAGUCUGGGGCACUCUGCUUAGGCUGCUGCCCUCGCGACCUGACCCUGGAUAAGCGGAAGAGAUAAGAAAUGAUAUAAAGCUGUACGCCAAGAGCAAGUGAGACAUCGACUCACUGAUCCACACCACCAGGAUCUACAACACUGAUUUCGGAAUGUCAUUCGGACUUGAGAAGUGUGGUCGGAUGGUGACAAAGAAAGGGAAGGUAGUCCACACAGAAGAGGUCUCGCUCCAAGAUGGAAAAAUAUUGAGGACAUUGAGGACAGCUACAAGUACCUUGGUAUUCCACAAGCAAAUGGCAACCUCGUCCCCAAGGCACUUUGCAUUGACUAUUGUAACAUGAGGAAAUAUGGGUUUUCUGUGCCAAAGGUUGUAUUUUGCCCGGCUGGGUCAGAGCUGGGUCGCUCAGAACUUUAACCCACAGAUUGAGACCUUUGCCGACAUGAAGUCUGCAAGAGUCUGCUGCAAACCUUAACAUCUGCCACCUGCAGUGCCAGAAGAGGUUGUUCUCAUGGAAGCUAGUCAUAACAUAACAAAGUCUUAAACUUCCUUUUCUUUAUUUUAAAUGUUAAAUAAUCAUUAUUAUCACUUUGCUCAUUAUAAAUGUGUUUUAAUCAAAUGAAUAGUUAUUAUGCUUUGGGUAAUCAUAAUAACUAUAAUGAAGCAAUGCUUAAUUAAAUAAUGUUUUGAA